rnacentral:rRNA from 1 species
GAUGAACGCUGGCGGUGUGCCUAAUACAUGCAAGUCGAGCGACCACACGAUGAGCUCGCUCUCCUGACGUUAGCGGGGGGCGGGCGAGUAACACGUGCAUCAGAUUCUUCUAUGACUGGGAUGACUACGUGAGACCGGAUCUACUACUACAUCAUAUAUCGAACGGGAUGGUUCAAUAGAUAAUGGCGGCUUUGCUGUCACAUAUAGCUGGAUCCGCGCCGCAUUAGCUAGUUGGUAAGGUAACGGCUUACCAAGGCGACGAUGCGUAGCCGACCUGAGAGGAUGAUCGGCCACACUGGAACUGAGACACGGUCCAGACUCCUACGGGAGGCAGCAGUGGGGAAUAUUGCGCAAUGGGCGAAAGCCUGAUGCAGCCAUGCCGCGUGAGUGAUGAAGGCCUUCGGAUCGUAAAACUCUGUUAUUAGGGAAGAACAAAUGUGUGAGUAUCUCUGGCCGUCUUGACGGUACCUAAUCAGUAAGCCACGGCUAACUUCGUG